GAUGAACGCUGGCGGCGUGCCUAAUACAUGCAAGUCGAGCGAACAGACGAGGAGCUUGCUCCUCUGACGUUAGCGGCGGACGGGUGAGUAACACGUGGAUAACCUACCUAUAAGACUGGGAUGACUUCGGGAAACCGGAGCUAAUACCGGAUAAUAUAUUGAACCGCAUGGUUCAAUAGUGAAAGACGGUUUUGCUGUCACUUAUAGAUGGAUCCGCGCCGCAUUAUCUAGUUGGUAAGGUAACGGCUUACCAAGGCAACGAUGCGUAGCCGACCUGAGAGGGUGAUCGGCCACACUGGAACUGAGACACGGUCCAGACUCCUACGGGAGGCAGCAGUAGGGAAUCUUCCGCAAUGGGCGAAAGCCUGACGGAGCAACGCCGCGUGAGUGAUGAAGGUCUUCGGAUCGUAAAACUCUGUUAUUAGGGAAGAACAAAUGUGUAAGUAACUAUGCACGUCUUGACGGUACCUAAUCAGAAAGCCACGGCUAACUACGUG
rnacentral:rRNA from 1 species